AGAACGAACGCUGGCGGCGUGGAUAAGACAUGCAAGUCGAACGGGACUUUUUCUGGUAGCAAUACCGGGAAAGUUUAGUGGCGAACGGGUGCGUAACACGUGGGCAAUCUGCCGAGAAGUGGGGGGAUAGCUCGCCGAAAGGCGAAUUAAUACCGCAUGUGAUGAGCUAAGACAUCUUGGCGAAAUCAAAGCCGGGGCAACCUGGCGCUUUUUUGAGGAGCCCGCGGCCUAUCAGCUUGUUGGUGAGGUAACGGCUCACCAAGGCGAUGACGGGUAGC
rnacentral:rRNA from 1 species